rnacentral:rRNA from 1 species
AAANCUGACUGCUAAUCGAACGUCUAGAUUUAUCUUUUAAAUUCAACUAGAAGUGGUGUACAGGUGAGUAAUGGAUAUUAGACUGCCUUAGAGUUGGUGGAAAAAUCACUAAUAUUUAAAAGAAAUAUUUAUUUCGCUUUAAGAUGUCUCUUUUUAUCUCGGAUUGUAGUAGUUAAGGUGAUUGCUUAACUAGGUUGAUAUCCGUAGCCAAGACUGAGAGGUCUAUUGGCCACAGUGUGGCAUGAACAAAGCCCACGGUUUACUACAGCAGUGAAGAAUAUUGGUCAAUAGCCUAACGGCUGAACCAGCAACUUGGAGGAAUGUAUAGCGAAAGCUGGUUGUAUUAAUUUAAUGUUAGUGCAGCAUCGACUAUGUCGAAUAAAGUUCUAGGUAGAGUUAUGAUAAUGACAUUUUCUAUCUAUGUGUCUUGACCAAGUCACGUGCCAGCAGUCGCGGUAAUACGUGGAAGACUAGUGUUAUUCAUCUUUAAUUGGUUUAAAGGGUACCUAGACGGUUCAUUAAGCCCUUAGGGGUACUAGUAAACUAGAGUUUAAUGCGAGAGGGUGUGUACGAGAGAGUGUAGAGAUGAAAUACCGUCAUACCUUACUUGUCACAGGCAACAGCGAAAGCAACCUUUUAUGUAAAAACUGACGUUGAAGGACGAAGGCUUGGGACACCAACAGGAUUAGAUACCCCAGCAGUCCUUGCAGACAAUGAUGAAUGUCAUAGAUUAGAAUUAUAUAUCUUUUUUUAGGAUAUACUUUUAUCUAUAAAUGAAAGUGUAAGCAUUCCACCUCAAGAGUAAUGUGGCAACGCAUAAACUGAAAUCAUUAGACCGUUUCUGAAACCAGUAGUGAAGUAUGUUGUUUAAUUUGAUGGUCCGCAAAACACCUUACCACAAUUUGAAUACUUCGACACUGUCGAAGUACAAGCGUUGCACGGCUGUCUUCAGUUAAUGUCGUGAGAUUUUGGUUAGUUCCAUAAAAUUAACGUAAACCCUUGCUUUAUUUUUUUUUAUAAAGCAGUUCACCGCUUUUUUGGAUAUUGAUAAAAGGGGACUAAGACAAGUCAAUAUGGCCUUAAAUUGGGGGCUAGAACACGGCCCCAAAAAAAAC